rnacentral:lncRNA from 1 species
ACAGGAUGUCUGUCCACCCCUCCAUGGUGAUGCACUGGAAGACGGUGAGCACGGGCUAUGGCUCAUCUAUGGGGUUUCUAUGGGGCUAGCUAUGGGGGCAGCUUAUGGGGUUUCUAUGGGCAGGGACUCAUCUAUGGGGUUCUUGGGGUUUCUAUGGGGCAGCUAUGGGUCAGGGCUCAUCUAUGGGGUUUCUAUGGGGCAGCUAUGGGUCAGGGCUCAUCUAUGGGGUUCCUAUGGGGUUUCUAUGGGGCAGCUAUGGGUCAGGGCUCAUCUAUGGGGUUCCAUAUUGGUUUCUUAUGGCAAGCUAUGGGUCAGGCUCAUCUAUGGGGUUUCCUAUGGCAGCUAUGGGG